rnacentral:misc_RNA from 1 species
GUGAAUCAUCAAAUUUUUGAACGCAAAUUGCACUCUCUGGUAUUCCGGAGAGUAUGCCUGUUUGAGGGUCAUUUUAAAUAAAAAUCGUUAUGUUUGCUUCCUUUCGUGGUGACGCACCUGAUUUGUUUCGUCUUGCCUUCGGUUAAGUUUCCGAAAAUUUUGCAUGAUUUUUUCGUACGUAUUUAAAUGAUUUUACUUACUUUUGCUAUAUCGAAUACUAGCUGUGGUCUUCCUCAUGAUUCUCGCCUA